AAAUUCUCAUGCUAAGUAAAAAGGCAAAUGAUAAUAUUCAAGAGUAAAAAAGAAGACUAGUAAUUUGUCACAAUUUUAACCAUUUCAUUGUCUGUUAUAAGAGAUUUUCACGAUUUCCAAUAUAGUGUUCGAACAAAUAAAUUCACAGACCACACCACAGAACCUAUGCACAGACCAGAAAUUUGGUUGAGGGGAAAGACCAAAGUGUUACGAGAAUGACCAAGUCUUUCCAACUCGCACUCUUAUUAUCUAGAAUUUGAGCCACAUACAUGUCUAGAGAGCUAUAACCAAGUGCACCAAACUGAAGAAACAGCAUUUGUAACGUCAUUAUCAGAAGCAACACUCCUCUAGCACACAACAGCAGCAAAGCGCUGCCAAGCUGCACGUAUAAAUGAAAGAUUCUUACUCUUGUUACCACAACAAUAACUAACAGAAGAUGAGUUAGAAACAGAAACUAAGAUUUCAUGCAAUUCUAUAGGAAUUCAUUAAUGAUUCGUCAGUAAAGCUAAUUGAAGAUGCACACAAAAGAUUCAGGGCAUGAAACAUUUCCUUCUGUAUAAUCUGAAAUCUGAAAAGAGAAUUUAUAUCAGGAGAAACCUAAAUUUACAAAUAAUAAGUAUAACUAAAUUAAUCAACCAAUAAUGCCUUAGGCUCAUCAGUGAAAAUGUAACAAGUUAGUUAGUAAUUAGCACAUAUAAUUAUGUAUUAGGUAUGACUCAAUAACCAUGUCUUUGAUAUUUGAGAAAAGUAAGAUCUACCUACAAAUUUUAUUUUUCUUUCCAACAGACGGUUGAUCCUUUCGGUUCCAUACAUACUAAGAUGUGCACUAUCCAAUCAGUGUGGAGGAUUUAAGCAAACCAAAACAAAUGAAUCCAUCAAAUAAUAGCUUGUGUUGUAUAAGCUAAAGCCAACACAAACCACAAAAAUCAAACCUAAGCCUCCAACUCUCAACUGAACACUUCUCACUUGCAUAUAAAUAAUUAAUAAUUAAGAAUUUAAUACUUCCCCAUCUUCUAAUCUUAUAUGUUUUAAUCACUGUUCAUUUUGUCAACAGUCACAUUCUAAUUCGACAAAACUUAUAAGGUUAAAACCCUCAAAGUAAUUAACCAUAAAAUUCCGACAAGUUAAAAUACAACUUCCAUUCUAACAGGAGUAGAACUAAGAACUGUUCAGAUAAACUCUUUUGUACACACUUGUAUGAAAAGAAGAAUAAAUAAAUUUCUCCAAAGUUAAAAAUAAUGUUUUAGAAGAACUAAGAGAGAACUUCUCCAAAUUAUGUUAUGUAUGAAAUAAUUUAAUCUUAAAAUAACUUAUUUCACUUUUUGCUAUUGUUUUUUUUCCUCUCUACAGUCCUUACAAAAGCUUAUUCAAACAUGUCCCCACAGAUAACUAGAAGACCACGAGGGUAGACUAUCAUACUCUAAACAAUUAGCCAUGCAAUAAAAUAAACGAAGGAAAAAAAAGGUAAACUUUUUUUCUAGAUCCUCAAAUUUAGGUUAAAAUUUGUCUUAGCCUUUAUGCUCAAAAUUUAGGUUAAAAUUUUGGUUCUCAUAUUUUUAAUAAUUAGGGAAUUUCUUCCCACAGCCUAGUACCCCAAAUUCCAUAAAAACAAAUAUGUAAAGAAUAGGUGCACCAGAGUCAUGAUCUUUAUAAGAUAGACACCAAAACUAAUUUACACAAAAAAAUUGAGCGACCUAAAGCAAAUUUUACCCUUAAAAAACUAUGAAAAAACAUACCAUCCUCGGAGGAACGGAAAGCAAUCACGCUCCUCGUGAUGGUGAUGAUGCGCCAGAUGCUGGUGCUCGUAGUGGUAGUGGGGCGGAGGAGGUGGCGGAGGACGCCCGUUAUCGAAAUACCCCUGGUACGAGUCAUAUGGCGGAUGCGGCGGCGGAGGAUAACCCCCGUAUCCCGGCGGAGGCGGCGGAGGGUAGCCUUCUUGCGGCGGCGCCGAUGGGUAACCCGGUUGCGGUGGAGGGUAAGGAGAUCCGUAUCCUGUCCAAAAAAUUAAUUUAAUGAAUUAAUUAAUUCGCGAAUCUGAAUAUUAGGAUGAAAAAUUGUAAUAAUAAUAAAAAAAAUGGAAUAAGAGAAUCAGAAGUAAGUUAUAAGAUUGGUGUGUGAAGUGUGUACCUGGUGGAGGGUAGGAUUCGUGCGAUAUUCUCUGGAAAUUGCUCAUAGCACUUGUUUUGUUUUCUCACUGUGGUGUUAUGUUGUGUCUCUGAGAAUGAGAAGAAGACCUGAAAUAGUUGCGAGAAAGAUAAGAGAGUAAGAAAAUUAAAAAAAUAAAUAUAUAAAAGUGAGUGGGACCCGUUGUAUAAUUGUCAGUUGGUUGGGUCUAUAGUCAUCAUUCGACACGUUUCCAGACAAGCAACGCUUUCAGUGUG
rnacentral:lncRNA from 1 species